GAUAACAGGGUCAAAAGGCUAUAUAGACUCCUCGUGCUGGCACGAAGGAGUCUAUAUAGGCCUUUAUGACCCGCCAAAACAUGAGAAAGGAGCCAUUUUUCGAAGAAAAAUGAGCGGAAUUCGAAUGUUUUGAAGAUUUCGGGAGCUCGAAGAGCGAAGAAAUCUGUUGUUAU
rnacentral:sRNA from 1 species